rnacentral:rRNA from 1 species
GAUUAGCUAGUUGGUGAGGUAAAGGCUUACCAAGGCGACGAUCAGUAGCUGGUCUGAGAGGANGACCAGCCACACUGGGACUGAGACACGGCCCAGACUCCUACGGGAGGCAGCAGUGGGGAAUUUUGGACAAUGGGGGNAACCCUGAUCCAGCCAUGCCGCGUGAGUGAAGAAGGCCUUCGGGUUGUAAAGCUCUUUCAGCCGGAANGAAACGGUCACGGCUAAUACCUGUGACUANUGACGGUACCGGAAGAAGAAGCACCGGCUAACUACGUGCCAGCAGCCGCGGUAAUACGUAGGGUGCNAGCGUUAAUCGGAAUUACUGGGCGUAAAGCGUGCGCAGGCGGUUUUGUAAGUCAGAUGUGAAAUCCCCGGGCUUAACCUGGGAACUG